rnacentral:rRNA from 1 species
UACGAGUGCUUCAAGCGUUAUCCGGAAUCAUUGGGCGUAAAGGGUGUGUAGGCGGCCCCGUUAGUCUUGCGUAAAAUCUCUCGGCUCAACCGAGAGCGUGCGCGGGAAACGGCGGGGCUAAGAGGACGGAAGAGGUCUCUGGAACUCUAGGUGUAGCGGUGAAAUGCGUUGAUAUCUAGGGGAACACCAAAAGCGAAGGCAAGAGACUGGUCCGCUCCUGACGCUGAAACACGAAAGCGUGGGUCGCGAAUGGG